UAUGAGAGUUUGAUCCUGGCUCAGGACGAACGCUGGCGGCGUGCCUAAUACAUGCAAGUCGAACGCUUCUUUCCUCCCGAGUGCUUGCACUCAAUUGGAAAGAGGAGUGGCGGACGGGUGAGUAACACGUGGGUAACCUACCCAUCAGAGGGGGAUAACACUUGGAAACAGGUGCUAAUACCGCAUAACAGUUUAUGCCGCAUGGCAUAAGAGUGAAAGGCGCUUUCGGGUGUCGCUGAUGGAUGGACCCGCGGUGCAUUAGCUAGUUGGUGAGGUAACGGCUCACCAAGGCCACGAUGCAUAGCCGACCUGAGAGGGUGAUCGGCCACACUGGGACUGAGACACGGCCCAGACUCCUACGGGAGGCAGCAGUAGGGAAUCUUCGGCAAUGGACGAAAGUCUGACCGAGCAACGCCGCGUGAGUGAAGAAGGUUUUCGGAUCGUAAAACUCUGUUGUUAGAGAAGAACAAGGACGUUAGUAACUGAACGUCCCCUGACGGUAUCUAACCAGAAAGCCACGGCUAACUACGUGCCAGCAGCCGCGGUAAUACGUAGGUGGCAAGCGUUGUCCGGAUUUAUUGGGCGUAAAGCGAGCGCAGGCGGUUUCUUAAGUCUGAUGUGAAAGCCCCCGGCUCAACCGGGGAGGGUCAUUGGAAACUGGGAGACUUGAGUGCAGAAGAGGAGAGUGGAAUUCCAUGUGUAGCGGUGAAAUGCGUAGAUAUAUGGAGGAACACCAGUGGCGAAGGCGGCUCUCUGGUCUGUAACUGACGCUGAGGCUCGAAAGCGUGGGGAGCAAACAGGAUUAGAUACCCUGGUAGUCCACGCCGUAAACGAUGAGUGCUAAGUGUUGGAGGGUUUCCGCCCUUCAGUGCUGCAGCAAACGCAUUAAGCACUCCGCCUGGGGAGUACGACCGCAAGGUUGAAACUCAAAGGAAUUGACGGGGGCCCGCACAAGCGAUGGAGCAUGUGGUUUAAUUCGAAGCAACGCGAAGAACCUUACCAGGUCUUGACAUCCUUUGACCACUCUAGAGAUAGAGCUUUCCCUUCGGGGACAAAGUGACAGGUGGUGCAUGGUUGUCGUCAGCUCGUGUCGUGAGAUGUUGGGUUAAGUCCCGCAACGAGCGCAACCCUUAUUGUUAGUUGCCAUCAUUUAGUUGGGCACUCUAGCGAGACUGCCGGUGACAAACCGGAGGAAGGUGGGGAUGACGUCAAAUCAUCAUGCCCCUUAUGACCUGGGCUACACACGUGCUACAAUGGGAAGUACAACGAGUCGCUAGACCGCGAGGUCAUGCAAAUCUCUUAAAGCUUCUCUCAGUUCGGAUUGCAGGCUGCAACUCGCCUGCAUGAAGCCGGAAUCGCUAGUAAUCGCGGAUCAGCACGCCGCGGUGAAUACGUUCCCGGGCCUUGUACACACCGCCCGUCACACCACGAGAGUUUGUAACACCCGAAGUCGGUGAGGUAACCUUUUUGGAGCCAGCCGCCUAAGGUGGGAUAGAUGAUUGGGGUGAAGUCGUAACAAGGUAGCCGUAUCGGAAGGUGCGGCUGGAUCACCUCCUUUCUAAGGAA
rnacentral:rRNA from 1 species